rnacentral:rRNA from 1 species
GACGAACGCUGGCGGCGUGCUUAACACAUGCAAGUCGAACGGAGUGGCGAACGGGUGAGUAACACGUGGGUGAUCUGCCUUGCACUUCGGGAUAAGCUUGGGAAACUGGGUCUAAUACCGGAUAUUGCAAGAUGAGCUCGCGGCCUAUCAGCUUGUUGGUGGGGUAAUGGCCUACCAAGGCGCCGACGGGUAGCCGGCCUGGGAGGGUGUACGGCCACAUUGGGACUGAGAUACGGGCCAGACGCCUACGGGAGGCAGCAGUGGGGAAUAGUGCACAAUGGGCGCAAGCCUGAUGCAGCCAUGCCGCGUGUAUGAAGAAGGCCCUAGGGUUGUAAACUCCUUUCGACAGGGACGCGGUACCUGUAUAAGAAGCACCGGCUAACUACGUGCCAGCAGCCGCGGUAAUAC